GUUUCUAGGAAGAUAGGAAGGGUUUGAGAUCCUCUGUGGUCGAAUGGGAGCGUUGGCUGUCACUCACGGUGUUUACACGCUGGUAACACAAUCCCCUGAAACCUCAAGCUUGCGCCAGUCCGGGGAGGGCCUUAGCCACAGGUGAAAUUCUCUGAACUCCGCCGCUUCUGCCCCCACCCCACCGCCCCAGGCUGGACCAAGUGAAUUGGACUCGGUCUGCUUUAUUAAUGGCAUGGGCCCUAAAGGAAUGAGCUGGGUUUGAUUUCUCUUCCCAAGUACAAGAAUGCCCCUGAGGAAUUUCUCACUCUGUGAAAGCGCAAAACUAAUUUCCCCAGACAGGCGCUGUUGCCGGUUCCCAAAAGGGCUUGGAAAGAUCCCAGCAGGAAUGCUCAGUGGUUCCAAAUCUCUUCACCCGAGCCGCUGGAUAUGCAGACACUGACCACCAAGAACUUCUUGGUAGGUGGACACACGUCCUUCCCAGACAGGCCUUCUUUUUAGAGUAUCUCAGGCCCCCAUGUUAUGGAGAUUUUGGAAUCAGCCAGAGAAUGCACAACCACGAACUCAUACAGACACAGCACAAAUGUAACAGUUCUCUAGAUUCAAGUGGCUCUGCAACUCAGGUGAGAAAAUUGAAGCACAGAGAAGUUAAGGAACUUGUCCAAAGGCACUGAGCAGGAGACUGGAAGAUUCUUCUCUGGAAAAACUAAGCAAUCCCAGAGGAAGGAGCUGCCCCGUGAAAAAGCUAGUGUGCCACCAGAGCACUUAACAGUGAACUCCACCAGUUGACAAGCUCCAAGUCACACACAGAGCCCUCCAUCAGCCUGUAGUGCCUCCCUCUCAGUGUAGAUCCUCAGCCGAAGAUCACCAGGCAUGUGAACAAAGCUUCCUGACAAGGAAGAUGUCAGGACUUUUCUUCAGUUUGACAGGGUCCACUGGGUGCCAAGCACGAUGACAGAAAAAGACCCCACUGAGGCAUAUCGCUGUGAAAUUUUAGAACCCUAGAGAUGAAGAAAAAAAAAUCCUAAAAACUUCCCAAGACACAAGGGCCUCAAGUACAAUGCUGGAAAGAAGAAUUGAUGCAGACAUUUUUGUCUUGUUCCUGAUUUUUAAAGGCCUUCUAACAUUUCACCUUGAAGAAUGAUGUUUGAAGAAUGACGUUUGCUGUAAUUAUUUGGUUAAAAAAAACUCUAUCAGAGCCUGCCCUACCCAGAGCCCCGAGUCCCCUGAGUCUUGUCCCAUCUGAGUGUUCAUCCACAUUCUUCCUCACACGUUGGAAACUCUAAGUAGGCCUCAUUCUUUAAAGUUUCCAGAGGCCAGUUUGGUCAGUCUGUGCUUGGUGACUGCUGGUUUGAUGAAUGAAUGCAAGCAUGCAGAGAUGGCCCCUGAGAGCCCAGGUGCAACCACUCUCCAGUCGGGCCACUGGGUCACAUAAUCAAUGGCUGGACACAAUGUUUCAAACCAGGGUAUUCUAUUACU